AUUUUAGGACUAAUUUUUGCGCAUGAAAAUAACAUGCCAAUAUAAGCCAAAGCCAUUUCCUUUAUUCAUUAAUUCACUCUAAAGGAGAAUCGAGCAGGAGGUGAGAAGAUCGAAUCACAACAGCAAAAUGAGCGGAAGUGGCAAGAAAAUUGCAGUGAAGGCCGUGGAUGGCAUGACGAAGCUUCUUGUGACCGAACCUUCGUAACACUUAUGAAGAUGUUAAGCGCACUCUCGACACAAAGUUCAAUCAGCUUAAGGAAGCUAAAGAGGGAGAACAAAAAUCAUUGCAAGAGUCAGAAAGGCUGGACAAAGAAAUUGCCAAGAUUCGGGAACUGAAGGACAGUUUGUUCUCUCAUUGGCUCUGAGCUUUGAAUAUUGGUCUUCUCUUUGUUUGGAUUCUUUUCUCUUCUAAGUGAAUAUUAUUAUAAUUUUGGCAACCCAAUCUGUGUCUACAGAAAAAAAUUAUGACCAUGACUGCUGACAAGUACUUCGCCAAGUACCCGAAGCUCAAGGCACAGUUUGACAAAGAAAUUAAAAAUGAUAACUGGGGAUAUUGAGCAGAACAAAAUUCUAAUCACUGCAUAUGCAGUAAACGAUACCAUGCUGGCAUCAAAUGGAGAUCCCGGAGUUGGAAGAUCAAGCAAGGAUAAGGGCGACCUCCUCCAGUCAAGCAUCGACAAGGACGACCUUCUUUGGUCAAGCAUCAUCAGGAAUAACUUCUUCCAAUCCAGCAUUCCAAGGCGAGGUACAUCAUCAUCUUGCACAUCAAGGACACAAGAAGUCAGAGCAAAGUGUUCGUUGAAGAAGCAGAUAGUUUCAGAAGAGUUAAUUAAAGCUAGCUUCUCAACAUCAUCGAAUUGGAUAUCAACCAAGUGUCAGACGAGGUGGCAUCCUAGUCAUCACUCCUCACUUCACCAGUCGGAUUGGUCCACCUCAGCGUGUCCAGAUUCAAUGUAUCUAACUCAUGGGAGGUGGCACAAACUUCGAUGCACCUACCCCAGCUAUCCAUUGGUCGAAUUUUCCAGAGAAGACAUGUGUCCUUAAAAUGUAAUUUUAUCAUUGGUCAAACAUUAAAUGUUAUGUAAUGGUUGUAACAAACCCUAAUUAGGGUUUUCAUUAUUGAAUCUUGGCCAUUGAUCUCAAAUGGAUCUGAGCCAUCGAAUUGUAUUAUGGGCACUAUAUAAGCCCCGACUCUUCAUUUGUAAAGGCAGUUAGAAAGCAAUUAGAAAGAAGUUAGCAAUUAGACAGUAGUUAGAAGGUGAUUAGUCAGUUGAUAGAAUAUCAAUUAGAGUAGAGUAGAGAGAGAAGGCAAAGAUUGUUGCCAAG